UACGUAGGUGGCAAGCGUUGUCCGGAUUUACUGGGCGUAAAGAGCGCGCAGGCGGUCGUGCAAGUCGCGUGUGAAAGCCCCCGGCUCAACUGGGGAGGGUCACGCGAUACUGCUCGACUCGAAGGCAGGAGAGGGAAGUGGAAUUCCCGGUGUAGUGGUGAAAUGCGUAGAUAUCGGAAGGAACACCGGUGGCGAAAGCGGCGCGCUGGACCCCUUCUGACGCUGAGGCGCGAAAGCCAGGGGAGCAAACGGG
rnacentral:rRNA from 1 species